CCUGAUUGUUUAUCGGUUUACGAGAGCGUUAUUUGGUCUGACUUCAUCGCCCUUCCUCCUCGCUGGGGUCCUGAACCACCACCUCGACCAAUGGAAAGAGAAUUACCCCGAAGUUGUUAAAGAAAUUGAUGAUAAUCUGUAUGUGGAUGACCUUAUGAUGGGCGGCGCGACAGUUCCAGAAACCAGAGAGAAGAAAACCAUAGCUACAGAAGUUUUCGAAGAUGCUGCAUUUACAAUUCACAAGUGGCACUCAAAUGAAUCAGAGUUGGAAGGCGACGAAGCUGACCCACGUGACGAGAAUUGUGAGGGAAC